rnacentral:rRNA from 1 species
AGAUUGAACGCUGGCGGAAUGCUUUACAUAUGCAAGUCGAACGGCAGCACGGGGGCAACCCUGGUGGCGAGUGGCGAACGGGUGAGUAAUACAUCGGAACGUGCCCAGUCGUGGGGGAUAACUACGCGAAAGCGUAGCUAAAUACCGCAUACGAACUCUGGUUGAAAGCGGGGGAUCGCAAAGACCUCGCGCGAUUGGAGCGGCCGAUGGCAGAUUAGGUAGUU